UCUUCUUCCCUAGCUGUGACUUCGGAAUGUAACAUUUCUCUUCUAAAUUCCCCCAGAUCUGCUGACGUAUGUUCGAAAGGUCUCAUCGGAAUUGGAUCUCUCCUCAUUGUCUCCCCUCCAAUACUUGGCCAAUAUACCGUCUGACUCGCUCUUCUCUUCGUUCUCUUGAUGUGCACGAUGUAACCUUUUAAGAACAUCACAGUGCUUAUUUCUUGGAAUUACCAGUCUAUCCUUAUAAAGAAUAAAAUCAUCUUUUAUGCUCAAUUCAUGUAAAAUUUUCAAAAAGGAUUCAAUUGUGUCUUUUAUCACAUCUGU
rnacentral:lncRNA from 1 species